rnacentral:rRNA from 1 species
CAGUAGCCACGGGAAUACGAAGGGGGCUAGCGUUGCUCGGAAUGACUGGGCGUAAAGGGCGCGUAGGCGGCGAUCAAAGUCAGGCGUGAAAUUCCUGGGCUCAACCUGGGGGCUGCGCUUGAUACUUGGUUGCUUGAGUGGGGAAGAGGGUCGUGGAAUUCCCAGUGUAGAGGUGAAAUUCGUAGAUAUUGGGAAGAACACCGGUGGCGAAGGCGGCGACCUGGUCCUUGACUGACGCUGAGGCGCGAAAGCGUGGGGAGCAAACAGGAUUAGAGACCCCAGUAGUCCCUGUCUCUUAUAC